CAACGGGACAUGGGCACACCCUCCCUUCCUGGGCCUCUUCCCCAGGUGGCCCCGGUGAGAGAUCAGGAAGCUCCCAGACAUAGGAUGUCUAACUCACUCAGGCGAUCACGUGACAGAGAGAAGAGGGGCUUGAGCAGAGAGAAUGCUUAGAGGCUAAGCGAUGAUGGGCAGCCCGACCUGGAUGGGAUUCGCUCCUGGGUACAAAACGGGACACUGAUCAGAAUCAACUUGGACAAGUGACAAGAGUGAGUCUGAUGUCGGUGGAUGUCUUUUAAGGUCGUUGGAGGGAAGAGGAAGGACGGGAGGGGUGUGCUGAGGGGUAGGUGGAGAGAGGCACCGAGUCCAGAGCCGGGAUAUAAAGGCACCAGGAGUCGGGGAGCGGAGGAGCAAAUGAGUGGGGGAAAGAGGGAGAGGAAGAGUUGGAGAAAAGUCUAGGGAAAGUAGGGACAGGGUUAAGGGGAGACGGGAGGAUGAGGGCGGCGAGGAGAGAUUAAAAGGGGAAGGGGAGUCACUGGAGAGGAGGGCGGACUGUUGGAUCGGAGGUAGGGAGACGGGCGAGGGGCGAGGGGCGU